GACGAACGCUGGCGGCGUGCUUAACACAUGCAAGUCGAACGGAAAGGCCCUGCUUUUGUGGGGUGCUCGAGUGGCGAACGGGUGAGUAACACGUGAGUAACCUGCCCUUGACUUUGGGAUAACUUCAGGAAACUGGGGCUAAUACCGGAUAGGAGCUCCUGCUGCAUGGUGGGGGUUGGAAAUUUUCGGCGGUUGGGGAUGGACUCGCGGCUUAUCAGCUUGUUGGUGGGGUAGUGGCUUACCAAGGCUUUGACGGGUAGCCGGCCUGAGAGGGUGACCGGCAACAUUGGGACGGAGAUACGGCCCAGACUCCUACGGGAGGCAGCAGGGGGGAAUAGUGCACAAUGGGCGGAAGCCUGAUGCAGCAACGCCGCGUGCGGGAUGACGGCCUUCGGGUUGUAAACCGCUUUAGCCUGUGACGAAGCGUGAGUGACGGUAAUGGGUAAAGAAGCACCGGCUAACUACGUG
rnacentral:rRNA from 1 species